AUUAGUGUGUGUGUGGCACAUUUUCAGUUUUGUCAAUUGUGUAGUGUAGUUCAAUCAAGAGUAGUUUCAGUC